UACAGAGGUGGCAAGCGUUGUUCGGAAUUACUGGGCGUAAAGGGCGAGUAGGUGGCCAUCUAAGUCAGACGUGAAAUCCCCCGGCUUAACCUGGGAACUGCGUCUGAUACUGGACGGCUUGAGUAUGGGAGAGGGAUGUAGAAUUCCAGGUGUAGCGGUGAAAUGCUUAGAUAUCUGGAGGAACACCAGUGGCGAAGGCGGUGUUCUGGGCCUGUACUGACGCUGGAUGCGCGAAAGCGUGGGGAGCGAACAGG
rnacentral:rRNA from 1 species